AAUGUAAGCUUGGGCUCAAUGAUAAGAGUAUUAUUGGAGGCUCAAGGUAAAUCAACAAAAGGGAAAAGCCAUUGAUCUGGAUGAUAUCAAAUUUCACCGCUCACUUGUGGUCUAGGUGUGUGCAUUUGGCCCGAUUUGAAAAUGAUGGGACACUAUCUUUCAUUUCUUUGGAUGGAUAUUUGGAUCUAAUGACAUACAGGCUCAGUACUCAGGUAAAGCCAUUGAUCUGGUUGGAAGCUCAAGUAGAAAGACAUUCAAAAAGUC